GCUGGUCGUACAAUGAGUGACGCGCCUGUAAUGCAAGCAACUGGCAGGCAGAUGGUGGUGGACGGAGUGAGAGGAGGAGUCCUGCCGGGUGCUCGGCGGCGUCGACCGAGCGUCCAGGCCAAGCGCGGCGUCGAUAAGCUGUCACUGGGGGAGCCUGGAGACAGCUGGUCGUACAAUGAGUGACGCACGGCUCAGGGCCGAAAGGCAGCAGGCAAAAGUCGCCGCGUCGCGACAGUGGUCGGAUCGCGCUUGCGAGUCGUUGACACUCGACAGCCUUCUCAAUACCUUCGUUCCCGUCGUCGAU
rfam:Toxocara canis scaffold1257, whole genome shotgun sequence.